GGCCCAAAUUUGAAAUAGAGUGGAUUAGGACGAUCAUAUGACCUUUCUAAACUACACUACUUCAAGUUUGUGCCU
rfam:Haemonchus contortus, ISE/inbred ISE, WGS project CAVP01000000 data, contig: Hcontortus_contig_pathogens_Hcontortus_scaffold_1763